CGUCAAUACUGACACGAUGCAACUGACUGAUUUCAUGUCACGGGAUGUACGAGUACAUUACCAUUACGACGUAAUUGUGAAGUGAAAACGACAUUACCAGAUUGUAUACAAGUACCAAUUACUUAUUUACACAUCAGGUUAUUGUUGGUUUAAAAAUCUUUCUCCCAGCCAGAGGUCUCAUCAGCAGGUCCCCGAUGAGUUGAAUGAAAGAAUCGCGGUCUAGGGUUAAACAUUCUACACCUGGAUGAAGAGCUAUCACGGAAGCAGUGCGGUAGUCUUCUUUCAACAAAGCUUGCUCUCCGAAAUAAUCACCACGUUGUAAGAUUUUGCAGUAGAGGAACCGAUCGCAAAAAGUUGAUGUUAUCUUCUAAUCUCUGCAAUCCUGUUCGUACCAUGAUUUGUUGGAAGACUUUACGGUCAAGUACCCAAACAUUCGAAUCACUUACAACUAAAAUUUAAUUACUUUAUAUUAUACCCAUUUGUAGAGUAUGGCAAGUUCCCCGAAUGCUUUCCCGGUACCCAUGCGCCCCAAGACGUUACCAUCUUUGAUGACCUCAUAUUCACCCUCUGCGGAGACAAACAGAUGUGCGCCAUUAUCUCCUUCGCGGAUAACAUACGUUCCUUUCUGGUACCCGCGCGGGUACAUGGAGUCGACGAUUUCGCGAAUUUGGCACGAGUCUAAAUUUUUGAGGAAGUCAUUGUCUAGGAUGGCGUCCUUAAUAAGCUGCUUCGAUCUGUACCACAAUGAAUUACUGGAUGUGAAGUGAUUUGUAAACGCCGUCGGCGGCUGGAAAUAUCUACCUGAAAUCUUUUUCAAAUUUUGGUAUGGUAAUAUCGCCGGGAGCUCCUGAUGACUCGCUGGACUCGGCGGAUACACCUUGUUUCUUCGCUGAAGAUGUUCCAUGAGGUGAUAACGACGAAGAGACUUGAUGGAGAGUCGAAAGUAUAUCGGCUUCUUUAUUGAGCUUUGAUGUCGUUUGCUGUA